AGAGUUUGAUCCUGGCUCAGAGCGAACGUUAGCGGCGGGCUUUACACAUGCAAGUCGAGCGAGAAAUUGCCCUUCGGGGCAUGAGUAAAGCGGCGCACGGGUGAGUAACGCGUGGGUAAUCUACCGUUCGGCGCGGGACAACAACUCGAAAGAGUUGCUAAUACCGCAUACGUCGACAAUCACUUCGGGGAUUGUCGGGAAAGGGUGGCCUCUACUUGUAAGCUAUCGCCGAAUGAUGAGCCCGCGUCCCAUCAACUUGUUGGUAAGGUAACGGCUUACCAAGGCGAAGACGGGUAGCUGGUCUGAGAGGAUGAUCAGCCACACUGGGACUGAGACACGGCCCAGACUCCUACGGGAGGCAGCAGUGGGGAAUAUUGGACAAUGGGCGAAAGCCUGAUCCAGCCACGCCGCGUGUGUGAUGAAGGCCUUCGGGUCGUAAAGCACUGUGGGGGGAGACGAACAUGCCAGAGGUUAAUAUCCUCUGGAGCUGACGGUAUCCCCUUAGCAAGCACCGGCUAACUCCGUGCCAGCAGCCGCGGUAAUACGGAGGGUGCAAACGUUGCUCGGAAUUAUUGGGCGUAAAGCGCGUGUAGGCGGUCCGUUAAGUCGAGUGUGAAAGCCCUGGGCUCAACCUA
rnacentral:rRNA from 1 species